GACAGAGGGUGCAAACGUUGCUCGGAAUCACUGGGCGUAAAGGGUGCGUAGGCGGGUUUUUAAGUCAGAGGUGAAAUCCUGGAGCUCAACUCCAGAACUGCCUUUGAUACUGAAAGUCUUGAGUAUGGGAGAGGUGAGUGGAACUGCGAGUGUAGAGGUGAAAUUCGUAGAUAUUCGCAAGAACACCAGUGGCGAAGGCGGCUCACUGGCCCAUAACUGACGCUGAGGCACGAAAGCGUGGGGAGCAAACAGG
rnacentral:rRNA from 1 species